CAGGUGGUCUUGGCUGGGAAGACCCCUCGCUUGCAGUGUGUUUGGACUGCUGAAUGCAUUAAAUGGGAACUUAAUACCAAAAUGUGGAAGAGGAAGAAACUUGUCUGGGAUCUGGGCUGGAAGUGCUCGGCACCGCAGUGGGAAUGGAGGCAGAGAACUGUGGAGCCGGCAGCAGGAGGAGGAAGUCACCCUGAAGAUGUGCAAGGACCCUCAUCUUCCCUGCUGUGAAUAAGGUCAGGGCAGAGCCGCACCCCUGGGGUUGCUCAGCCACAGAAGGGACACACC